rnacentral:rRNA from 1 species
CGGCAACAGCUCAAAUUUGAAAUCUGGCUCCCUCGGGGUCCGAGUUGUAAUUUGAAGAGGAUGCCUCGCGGACGGCGCCGCCCUAAGUCCCUUGGAACAGGGCGUCAGAGAGGGUGAGAGUCCCGUAUGGGGGCGGAGGCCCGACGCGUGUGAGGCUCCUUCGAC